rnacentral:tRNA from 1 species
GGAAGCGUGCCUGAGUGGUUGAAAGGGGCACUCUCGAAAAGUGUUGAAUCAGAAAUGGUUCCGAAGGUUCAAAUCCUUCCGCUUCCG